UAUGAAGAUAAUUUCCGCCUCAUUGAGUGCUGUCAUUGUAUCCAUUCUGCUGUUCGAUUGGUUUCUCAUUGAGCAAGCUUCAGCGAUCCCCGACAGCACGCCCCCACCGCCGCAUUGCCUUAGACCACAGAACGAUGGCGCAAACUGUCACAUGCCGCGCUGGCAUUUUAAUGCAUUUACGGAAAAUUGCGAACGCAACUUGACUUGCAACGUGGAUUCCUUCAAAACAUAUCUCAAGUGCAUGCAAAACUGUGCACUGUGAUCGCAAAGAGGCAUAAAUAAAUUUGAGGCAUGUACGAUGUGUUAUUCGGGGAUA